rnacentral:rRNA from 1 species
GAUGAACGCUGGCGGCGUGCCUAAUACAUGCAAGUUGAGCGAACGGACGAGAAGCUUGCUUCUCUGAUGUUAGCGGCGGACGGGUGAGUAACACGUGGAUAACCUACCUAUAAGACUGGGAUAACUUCGGGAAACCGUAGCUAAUACCGGAUAAUAUUUUGAACCGCAUGGUUCAAAAGUGAAAGACGGUCUUGCUGUCACUUAUAGAUGGAUCCGCGCUGCAUUAGCUAGUUGGUAAGGUAACGGCUUACCAAGGCAACGAUGCAUAGCCGACCUGAGAGGGUGAUCGGCCACACCGGAACUGAGACACGGUCCAGACUCCUACGGGAGGCAGCAGUAGGGAAUCUUCCGCAAUGGGCGAAAGCCUGACGGAGCAACGCCGCGUGAGUGAUGAAGGUCUUCGGAUCGUAAAACUCUGUUAUUAGGGAAGAACAUAUGUGUAAGUAACUGUGCACAUCUUGACGGUACCUAAUCAGAAAGCCACGGCUAACUACGUG